AAUCCAUAGGUUAAUGAGGCGAACCGGGGGAACUGAAACAUCUAAGUACCCCGAGGAAAAGAAAUCAACCGAGAUUCCCCCAGUAGCGGCGAGCGAACGGGGAGGAGCCCAGAGCCUGAAUCAGCAUGUGUGUUAGUGGAAGCGUCUGGAAAGGCGCGCGAUACAGGGUGACAGCCCCGUACACAAAAGCGCAUGUGCUGUGAGCUCGAUGAGUAGGGCGGGACACGUGGUAUCCUGUCUGAAUAUGGGGGGACCAUCCUCCAAGGCUAAAUACUCCUGACUGACCGAUAGUGAACCAGUACCGUGAGGGAAAGGCGAAAAGAACCCCGGCGAGGGGAGUGAAAAAGAACCUGAAACCGUGUACGUACAAGCAGUGGGAGCACAGGUUUACCUGUGUGACUGCGUACCUUUUGUAUAAUGGGUCAGCGACUUAUAUUCUGUAGCAAGGUUAACCGAAUAGGGGAGCCGGAGGGAAACCGAGUCUUAAUUGGGCGUUAAGUUGCAGGGUAUAGACCCGAAACCCGGUGAUCUAGCCAUGGGCAGGUUGAAGGUUGGGUAACACUAACUGGAGGACCGAACCGACUAAUGUUGAAAAAUUAGCGGAUGACCUGUGGCUGGGGGUGAAAGGCCAAUCAAACCGGGAGAUAGCUGGUUCUCCCCGAAAGCUAUUUAGGUAGCGCCUCGUGAAUUCAUCUCCGGGGGUAGAGCACUGUUUCGGCUAGGGGGCCAUCCCGGCUUACCAACCCGAUGCAAACUGCGAAUACCGGAGAAUGUUAUCACGGGAGACACACGGCGGGUGCUAACGUCCGUCGUGAAGAGGGAAACAACCCAGACCGCCAGCUAAGGUCCCAAAGUCAUGGUUAAGUGGGAAACGAUGUGGGAAGGCCCAGACAGCCAGGAUGUUGGCUUAGAAGCAGCCAUCAUUUAAAGAAAGCGUAAUAGCUCACUGGUCGAGUCGGCCUGCGCGGAAGAUGUAACGGGGCUAAACCAUGCACCGAAGCUGCGGCAGCGAACGUAUCACCCAAGACAACUUUACGGAGUUGACGAUUGACGGAGCGAAGCGACGUCAAAGCGUUCAUUAAAGUCGAGUUGGCUUAGGGAUACGUUCGUUGGGUAGGGGAGCGUUCUGUAAGCCUGUGAAGGUGUGUCGUGAGGCAUGCUGGAGGUAUCAGAAGUGCGAAUGCUGACAUAAGUAACGAUAAAGCGGGUGAAAAGCCCGCUCGCCGGAAGACCAAGGGUUCCUGUCCAACGUUAAUCGGGGCAGGGUGAGUCGACCCCUAAGGCGAGGCCGAAAGGCGUAGUCGAUGGGAAACGGGUUAAUAUUCCCGUACUUGGUGUUACUGCGAAGGGGGGACGGAGAAGGCUAUGUUGGCCGGGCGACGGUUGUCCCGGUUUAAGCGUGUAGGUGUGUGUUCCAGGUAAAUCCGGUUCACUUUAACACUGAGGCGUGACGACGAGGCACUACGGUGCUGAAGCAACAAAUGCCCUGCUUCCAGGAAAAGCCUCUAAGCAUCAGGUAACAUCAAAUCGUACCCCAAACCGACACAGGUGGUCAGGUAGAGAAUACCAAGGCGCUUGAGAGAACUCGGGUGAAGGAACUAGGCAAAAUGGUGCCGUAACUUCGGGAGAAGGCACGCUGACACGUAGGUGAAGUGAUUUACUCAUGGAGCUGAAGUCAGUCGAAGAUACCAGCUGGCUGCAACUGUUUAUUAAAAACACAGCACUGUGCAAACACGAAAGUGGACGUAUACGGUGUGACGCCUGCCCGGUGCCGGAAGGUUAAUUGAUGGGGUCAGCGCAAGCGAAGCUCCUGAUCGAAGCCCCGGUAAACGGCGGCCGUAACUAUAACGGUCCUAAGGUAGCGAAAUUCCUUGUCGGGUAAGUUCCGACCUGCACGAAUGGCGUAAUGAUGGCCAGGCUGUCUCCACCCGAGACUCAGUGAAAUUGAACUCGCUGUGAAGAUGCAGUGUACCCGCGGCAAGACGGAAAGACCCCGUGAACCUUUACUAUAGCUUGACACUGAACAUUGAGCCUUGAUGUGUAGGAUAGGUGGGAGGCUUUGAAGUGUGGACGCCAGUCUGCAUGGAGCCGACCUUGAAAUACCACCCUUUAAUGUUUGAUGUUCUAACGUGGACCCGUAAUCCGGGUUGCGGACAGUGUCUGGUGGGUAGUUUGACUGGGGCGGUCUCCUCCUAAAGAGUAACGGAGGAGCACGAAGGUUGGCUAAUCCUGGUCGGACAUCAGGAGGUUAGUGCAAUGGCAUAAGCCAGCUUGACUGCGAGCGUGACGGCGCGAGCAGGUGCGAAAGCAGGUCAUAGU
rnacentral:rRNA from 1 species